GUGGAAUUUCAUAUAAUUUGUCAUAUUAAGAGUGUCUUUCUUAUGCACCCAGGAGAAGGGCGUGGCCCUAGUUUUUACACCAUCUGUUUUGGCCCAGAGGAUAUAUAAUGCCCCCCAGAAAGUACAAGUAAAUGGUAAAUAGCAGCUCCUCAAGACCCAUGGGUUCGACGAACAUUUAGGCAACUCCGGAGGCAACAACCGAUCCACCAGUACAUCAGACCAGUACAUCAAAACCUGACGCCUCCCGAAGAAGAUCAUGAGGUGUGGAUAACCUAGGACAGCACCGGAAGAAGCCUUCACACCACGAGUUAAGUCUUCUUUAGAAUCUUAUAUUUGCCUGUCAGCAGAGACAGUUUUUUUAUAUAAAUUAACUUCAUAAUAACUUCACAAUGAUGUAGAUCCUAAAUUAUAAAAAAAAGAAAUGAGAAAAUAAAGCAUUUAUACCGAAA
rnacentral:lncRNA from 1 species